rnacentral:rRNA from 1 species
AUUGAACGCUGGCGGCAGGCCUAACACAUGCAAGUCGAGCGGAGCGGCGGACGUGUGAGUAAUGCCUAGGAAUCUGCCUGGUAGUGGGGGAUAACGUCCGGAAACGGGCGCUAAUACCGCAUACUAUCGGAUGAGCCUAGGUCGGAUUAGCUAGUUGGUGGGGUAAAGGCCCACCAAGGCGACGAUCCGUAACUGGUCUGAGAGGAUGAUCAGUAACACUGGAACUGAUACAAGGUCCAGACUCCUAAGGGAGGCAGCAGUGGGGAAUAUUGGACAAGGGGCGCAAGCCUGAUCCAGCCAUGCCGCGUGUAUGAAGAAGGGCUUCGGAUUGUAAAGCACUUUCAGUUGGGAGGCGUUACCAGCAGAAGAAGCACCGGCUAACUUCGUGCCAGCAGCCGCGGGAAUUC